AUUGAACGCUGGCGGCAUGCUUUACACAUGCAAGUCGAACGGUAACAGGCCGCAAGGUGCUGACGAGUGGCGAACGGGUGAGUAAUGCAUCGGAACGUGCCCAGUCGUGGGGGAUAACGCAGCGAAAGCUGCGCUAAUACCGCAUACGAUCUAUGGAUGAAAGCGGGGGACCGUAAGGCCUCGCGCGAUUGGAGCGGCCGAUGUCAGAUUAGGUAGUUGGUGGGGUAAAGGCUCACCAAGCCAACGAUCUGUAGCUGGUCUGAGAGGACGACCAGCGACACUGGGACUGAGAGACGGCCCAGAUUCCAACGGGAGGCAGCAGUGGGGAAUUUUGGACAAUGGGCGCAAGCCUGAUCCAGCAAUGCCGUGGGCAAGAAGAAGGCCUUCGGAUUGUAGACUGCUUUUGUACGGAACGAAACGGUCCUGGUUAAUACCCGGGGCUAAUGACGGUACCGUAAGAAUAAGCACCGGCUAACUACGUGCCAGCCGCCGCCGUAAAAC
rnacentral:rRNA from 1 species